GACAGAGGUGCCGAGCGUUAGGCGGAAUCACUGGGCUUAAAGCGUGUGUAGGCGGGCCGUUAAGUGUCUUGUGAAAUCCCCCGGCUCAACCGGGGAAUUGCUGGGCAUACUGGCGGUCUUGAGCAAUCUAGGGGCAGAUGGAACAAGUGGUGGAGCGGUGAAAUGCGUUGAGAUCGGAAGGAACGCCCGUGGCGAAAGCGAGGUCCUGGACGCCUACUGACGCUGAGACGCGAAAGCCAGGGGAGCGAACGGG
rnacentral:rRNA from 1 species